UACGUAGGGGGCAAGCGUUGUCCGGAAUCAUUGGGCGUAAAGCGCGUGUAGGCGGUCCGGUAAGUCCGCUGUGAAAGUCGGGGGCUUAACCCUCGGAUGCCGGUGGAUACUGUCGGGCUUGAGUACGGAAGAGGCGAGUGGAAUUCCUGGUGUAGCGGUGAAAUGCGCAGAUAUCAGGAAGAACACCAAUGGCGAAGGCAGCUCUCUGGGACGGUACUGACGCUGAGACGCGAAAGCGUGGGGAGCGAACAGG
rnacentral:rRNA from 1 species